rnacentral:rRNA from 1 species
GUGGGGAAUCUUGCGCAAUGGGCGAAAGCCUGACGCAGCCAUGCCGCGUGAAUGAUGAAGGUCUUAGGAUUGUAGAAUUCUUUCACCGGGGACGAUAAUGACGGUACCCGGAGAAGAAGCUCCGGCUAACUUCGUGCCAGCAGCCGCGGUAAUACGAAGGGGGCUAGCGUUGCUCGGAAUUACUGGGCGUAAAGGGCGCGUAGGCGGACAGCUUAGUCAGAGGUGAAAGCCCAGGGCUAAACCUUGGAAUUGCCUUUGAUACUGGCUGUCUUGAGUUUGGGAGAGGUGAGUGGAACUCCGAGUGUAGAGGUGAAAUUCGUAGAUAUUCGGAAGAACACCAGUGGCGAAGGCGACUCACUGGCCCAAUACUGACGCUGAGGCGCGAAAGCGUGGGGAGCAAACAGGAUUAGAUACCCGUGUAGUCC